rnacentral:lncRNA from 1 species
GUCCCCUUUCUCUUGUCUUCCGCCGUAAAACCUAAAAAAAACUAAUGUUUGGGAAACUCAUUUCAAUAGAAAUCGAUCUAAUAUCUUGUGUUUUUAUGGCUUGUCCCCGUCUUGUCCUUUCACAAGAUAGAAGUGUUGUUUAUUCUGCUUCAAGAACUCCGGUAGCUUUUUCACUGACUGUUAAGCUGUCUCUUUAAUUGAAUUUGUAAGUCUGAUGCACGCCGUUUCCGACUUUUUAGAGUAUAAAUACAAAUUAUAGAAACGCAGGAUUGAAUGAAAAACGGCACAUUUUUGUGACACUUUUAGUCAAUUUAUUUUAAAAA